rnacentral:lncRNA from 1 species
GCAUACAGUAAGUACAGUACCCAUCGAUAUAAUACAUGGACGAAAUUAAAUAUUGCAAGAUCAGUUAACUCUUGUAGCUAGCUAUAGUCAUUGUAUCAGCAUCAUUACGAUUACUAAUAUAUGAAUUUCAACACACGUACGUAUCAGUUAUUGUAAUAACAUUGUCAUUAUGACCGAGGGGAGAGGAUAUGAAUCCGGUUCAACCAUGCGGGAUCGGCGCGCCGCCGNN